rnacentral:rRNA from 1 species
GACGUAGGGCGCGAGCGUUGUCCGGAUUUAUUGGCGUAAAGAGCUCGUAGGCGGCUUGUCGCGUCGUCCGUGAAAACUUGGGGCUCAACCCCAAGCUUGCGGUCGAUACGGGCAGGCUAGAGUUCGGUAGGGGAGACUGGAAUUCCUGGUGUAGCGGUGAAAUGCGCAGAUAUCAGGAGGAACACCGAUGGCGAAGGCAGGUCUCUGGGCCACUACUGACGCUGAGAAGCGAAAGCAUGGGGAGCGAACAGG